rnacentral:rRNA from 1 species
AUGGCGGAGUCUGCUCUGCUUCUUGUCAUACAAAAGAUUGGCACAGCCGUGGCAGCAGAAACGUUCAACUUCACUAUACCAUUACUUGCAAGGAAAUCUGCUGCCGUGGCAGCACUGCCAAAUGACAUGAAAAUGAUAAGGAAUCAACUUGAGCUUAUACGCGCGUUUCUUGAGGAUACCGGCAGGAAAGGCUGCACUGAUCGAGUCAUAGAAGCAUGGACAGGGCAAGCACGAAAAUUGGCCUAUGAUAUGGAAGACAUUGUGGAUCAGUUUAUCUAUGUCGUUGGUAAACACAAUGUGCAGGAAGGAUCAUGGUGGUGUUGUAUGAAGAAAAUUGCCAAAAAACCUCAAUCUUUGUUUACAUUAGAUCAGAUUGCUACUGCAAUUGGUGGAAUAAAGCAACAGCUUAGAGAGCUCAAAGAAAAUAAAGACUGGACUCAGCCAAUAGGUGGUGUGCGUAAUGAUAUUCUUGCAACGGAAUAUGACAGUCAUUAUGCUCCUGGACAAGAUUACUCGAUUGCUGAUGAUGAGCUUGUAGGAAUUGAUAAAGAUCGAAAAAUCUGGAUCAAGUCAUUGCUUCUUGAAGGUGGUCCUGGACGGCGGCUCAUUGCUCUGUGGGGUAUGGGAGGAAUUGGAAAAAGCACUCUAGUCAACAGUUUGUACAAAAGUGAGGCAUCCAAGUUUGAUUGCCAUGCAUGGGUUUCUGUGUCCCAGUCAUAUAUACUGGAGGAUAUUUGGAGAAACAUGUUGAGAGGACUCCGUAAAAAUUUCAAGGAAGAAUCUGAUGCUUCUAAUAUGAACAGUACUGUAGAGAAAGUGGAAAAGAUGAGCAGUGAAGAACUGCAGGCUGAAUUGAAGCAAAUCCUGGGGGGAAAGCGGUACUUGAUCGUACUGGAUGAUGUCUGGAGACCUCAACAUCUUCAGGAAAUUCAACAGGUUCUUAUCGAUAAUGGCUUGGGUAGCAGAGCAAUAACCACGACAAGAAGUGAGGAAGUUGCUGAAGUGGCUGAACUGGCUGAGGCUGGCUGUAAGAUCAAAGUAGAGCCUCUAGAGGCUGAUGAUGCAUGGCGUCUGUUUUGCAGGAAAGCUUUCCCAAGGUUUGAAAACAACAUCUGCCCAACAGAGCUAGUCCAGUGUGGUAAGGACAUUGUGAAUAAAUGUGGCGGUUUGCCGCUAGCGCUAGUGGCAAUAGGGAGCAUAUUGUCCCUUAAAGUGCGCAAUGUUAGAGUGUGGAGGCUAUUCUAUGAGCAGCUUAAUUGGGAGCUGCACAACAAUGAGAACCUAUCCCAUGUGGAGAAAAUACUAAACCUCAGCUACAAGUAUCUGCCCAACCAUUUGAAGAGUUGUUUCUUGUAUUGUGCAAUGUUCCCAGAAGACUAUUGGAUCCAGAGAAAAAGAUUGAUUAGAUUGUGGAUCUCAGAAGGGUUUGUUCCACAAGCAGGAGCGUUGUUCUUGGAAGAAGUUGCUGAAGGUUAUCUGGAAGAACUCGUCCAACGAAGCAUGCUUCAUGUUGUAGAGAGGAACUCAUCUGGUAGGCUUCGGCGUGUCCAGAUGCAUGAUAUUGUGCGCGAACUAGCCAUUUCCCAGUCUAAAAAGGAGUGUUUCAGUACAACUUAUGAUGACACUCAUGUGAGAGACCAACAUGUGGGGUUGGAUUCUCGUCGUGUGUCGGUGCUGCGAUGCAAAAAUGGCCUUGGAUCAAGCAUACAUCCAGCAGCCAGGCUUCGCUCCUUGAUAGCAUUUGACAGCACCGUGAGAUCAUCAGCUCCAUUGUUUCCCUCGGAAUCUAAGUACAUUGCUGUGUUGGAAUUAUCAGGCUUGCCUAUUGACACUAUUCCAGAUUCAGUUGGGGAGCUUUUCAAUAUCAAGUAUUUGGGCCUUGAUCGCACCAAUGUGAAGAAACUCCCAAGUUCUGUUACCAAGCUUCACAAUUUAGAGACAUUGAGUAUUCGAGAUGGACAGUGCCUGAGUUUGCCUCGAGGGUCCCAGAGACUCAAGAGACUGCGACACAUACUUAUCUACAAAAUGCUGGAUAAAACAUGGAGUAGGUUUAGAAGUCAUGAAUCUAUGGUGCCAUUUGAGGGCAUGUGGGAUUUGCAGGAGUUGCAAUCUCUGCAUACAGUUGGAGCCAAUAAGGUUUUUGUUGCAAAACUAGGGAAUUUGUCUCAGAUGAGGUUCCUUCUCAUUACUGAGGUGAAGAGCAGUUACUGUCCACAAUUGUGUGACUCUAUAUCAAAGCUACGUCACCUUUCAAGAUUAGAAUUAAGAGCCAGUUACUGUGAGGAAGUGCUACAGCUGGAUAAUUUGACACUGCCAAAGCGUCUCGACAAGCUCACUUUGGUAGGGGGAUUGUCCCAAGGCUUUCUGGAAUCUCCAUUUUUCUCGAAGCAUGGAGAUGAACUUGUUCGACUAGAGCUGUAUUAUUCCCAGCUCGUGGUUGAUCCAACGCCACGCCUCUACAGGUUGGCGAAAUUGAGCCGUAUUGUUCUCCGAAGUGCGUAUAUUGGACAGGCACGACCCGUGGUUGCAAAUGCUUCGGAAAUAUCUAAACUGAGAGACGAGCUCCCUGCAGACUCGACUUGA